rnacentral:lncRNA from 1 species
CCCUCCUCCUGGCCGUGACCCAGGACCGGCCUGGGGCCCAGCACGAUGUGAAGGCACUGGGGACCUGUGCCAGGCCCUGGGCUUCGAGACCACCCUGAAGACAGACCCUACAGCCCAGCUUCUCCAGGGGGACCAGAGAACCAGCUGCAGGAGGCUGGACCCACGUCACCUCCAAUGAGGCCAUGCAACCAGAAGGGCACAGGGACGCACACUCUCCCCUGGUUGUGGCUCUGGCUGCAGGCACCACCAGCCACCCCCUCCCCCGGCCGAUGUCCUCCACAUCUAUGCUGAUGUGCAAGGUGGGUCUACCUACCUCAGGGAGCCUGGGCUUGGGCGGGGCUGGUGGGGGGAGCUGUCUGGAGAGCACUUCCAGGGCUCUGAGCUGGGAUCCUGCUGCCACCUCCUUCCUCUCUUCGUCAAGAAGAUGGGAAGGAAAACCUUAA